GGUCGCUUCUUUUUUGUCCAGAUCUGAUCCCCAAAUUAUUCCGGGGGGCUCAGAUUGGUGUGAAAGGGACGAGAAGGUCACUUGAAAUCGCCUUUUAUCCUCUGGCGUUUUUUUCUUUCUUUUUCUUUUUUUUUUUCCUAUGGAUCAGCAACUUUGAAUGGACAUAAUCUAAUCGCUGUUAAUAGAAUGGCCAUUCAUGAGAAAUGGUGGAAAUAACGUUAAAGCCUUGUGUGUAUUAUGGGCUGCAGCCAUUUAAGGCAUAUAUGAGGCAUUUAACAGGCAACAGGAGUUCACCAGAAAUUAAUUAUAAAACCCUGUUAAGUUUAAUUUACAUUUCAAAAUAAAGGCCACGCAUAUACAAACAGCAAUCAGUGUAAAAUAAACACAUUAAUAUCCUGUUUAAAUGUUAUAUUUUUGGACUAAAAUGAAUUGUAAAAUUGCAUAAACAUGAUCUUCUUUCAUAUAACUAUAGAUAUUAUUGUUGGGGUUGUUUCCUCAUUAUUUUUAAUAUGGCUUGAGGUCCUUCACAUCCAAUGCGAGAUGAAUGGGAGUCUUUUUUUCCCCCUUUUCCAUCCCACACUGUAAUUGACGACAAUAACUGCAAUGACUUUGCCAAUUAGGCUUGAGGUUAGUGUUAAGUUGGAGGGACUGUCAGUUUAUUCUAUGGGCUCUGGCUUUAUUGCUCACUAACCAUCAUUUUCUUUGGAGUCCACGUGCUAAUUACUCUGGAUGGUCCCAGAGACGGAGAUUAUAAAUCCAUUAGCAGCCAAACCCUCGUGGUUCCACUAGUGCAAACACUGUAAUUUUGCAGCACAGCAAAGUGUAGCAGGAGCUGGGUUUUUCAGCUGCGUGUGUGCGCGUGUGCCAGCGUGUGUGUGCGCGUGUGCACUUCUUACAGUGUGAACGGGAGCCUGGCGUGUAUCAGUCAGCAGCUACACUGAAACACAGAGUAAACUAAGCAGAACAGAAAAUGAAAUGACAGGGGAACAUGUUUGACUGCCAAUGGCUGCUGGUGCUUAUUUAAAAAAAAAAAAAAAAAACCCUCGUCAUGUGACUGCGUCCACGGUGAAGCAUCAGCUGUAAUCAUACAUGAUCAACACGACAGCCUCUUAAUACUGUGGCACCAAGUUAAAGGGAAAUUAUUAUUGUUAUUAUUAUCACCAUUAUCCCCUAAGUGCGCGCAAAUACGUAGCGCGAGCCUUAAGGAAUAACACGAAUUAAAAAUAAGACAGACUUAAUAUGUGCUUCAAAAAAAAAAAAAGGAGGCAAAACUCACAGAAAACGGGACCCACAUGGGCGGGUGCGGGUGUGGGUGUGAAGGCAUCUCACCCUUAAAGUAAUUUAUUUCAGGGAAACCAAAGGGCAAAGGUGGAAUUCUUGAGAAAUUCAACAAGGAUAAGGGAGCUUUAGGAAUUCUGCACGCAGAUUAUACUUUCAUCCCAUCCGCACAUUAUCCGACAACACACAGUAGAAAAUAUAGCUGCGCGACAAAAGACGAGAGAGAGACAGAUUAGCCUCCGACACAGAAGAGUGCAAAACUAUUUUUCUUUUUCUUUUCUUUUUAAAGGAGUAUUGCGAAUAUAAGCAAAGGGGGGUCAACACAGUGGAGGUGUGAUUCCCUGUGUGAGCUCCCACAAGAGGAGGGAGGAGAAGAGAUGACACAGCACUAAAGGCUCCAACUUGUUCUUACUCUCUCCUCCUGUCAUGAGUGAGGGAACAAAAGAGCUUUUUCAUGCAUGCAUUUAUAUUAAUAACACACGUAUAUAAUGAUAUUAAACCCAGAGCAAAGCUGAACAAGGAUUGAAUCGAUUAUGUGGAAACGUAUAAACACAUUAGUCUACUUUCUUAGCUUUUUUUGGCCAAAUGUGAAUGUAGUUUUUCACUGAUUCUCUGUGUGAGAGUUUAAUAAGAACAGUAAAGGACAAUGUAGGAGUAAAAUAAGAGAGGUGGGGCUAUUAAUACAAAUCCAAGUCCUAAAUCCAGAGAGUCCUGACAUGAAUCCUGACACUACUAACCCCUUUUUGGUUCAACUUGGCUGUUAAACUUCUGCUUUUCAGCCAAACUAAAGGGCAUCACAUUGACAUUAACACUACAUUGUUUACCGUCAUAAUAUAAUAUAUAUGUUAUAAUUUUUCUCCUUUGUCAUUUAGUCCGCUGCAAAAACAACUCACAGUAAGGCCAUGAUCAUAAAUGAGCAGUUUAUAAAUAUGUAGAGAAGAGAGAAAACUGUUUACUGUGAUAAAUAAUAAAAAAAACAUUUAUUUAUUGUACUUAAGUGCUUUGAUUCCAUUCAAAAAUAUACACAUUGCUGUAUAAAUACAUGCCCAACUCUCUAAAAAGUAUAAUUGUGUAAUUUUUAACUAAUGUGUCUCAUUAAAAACAUGCAUUUUGAACAUUUAGCAGCAGACCACUCACACUCACACACAAAGAAAAUCCCUGUUGACAUGAAGUGAACGUGGGCCUGUGUUUAGUGUCCAGACGUUGGCAGAUUGUGACCUUAUCAAUGUGAAACUUUUAAAGAUAAAUUAUUCAUAGCACCUGUUUAUUAAUGUGUCCGGCCAAAGAAUGACGAAGGUGUAAGAUUCAAGACGCGACUCAAAGCUGCGAGCGAGCAUCAGCAUCAGCCCCGAGGCUGCUGUGCUACUUUGUGUGUCUCCUUUAUUCAGCACUGAAUAUGAAAAAAAAUAAUAAAAUUAACCACGUGUCUCCUGACAGGAGGUGAAGAGGAGAGAGGAAAAAACAACAACAACACAGAAAGCACAGAGUGACGUGGACGUGGAGGCGAGACGGUCAGAGAGACAGUGGGACGUGUCGUUGGUGCGACGCAAGGACCGAGACUGGGAUGAGAUGUAAAUUAUGGAGAGUGAUGUUUGGUGCCGAGUGUUAAGAUCACUUUGCCUGACAAUCAAAGCACUUAAAAACUGUAGUGUUUAACUUGUUGAUAUGUACAAAUGUCAGUUACAUUUUGAACCAUUGCUGCUAUACACACACAAACGCCCCCUCAGACAGGUCUGAUAGUUUUGCUUGACAGGCCCUGUUUUCAGGUGAAAAUCCAGAGCUGACCCAAGCCAAAUUAGAUUUUGGGGCCCUUUAUCCACGUAAAUGAUAUAGUGGUUGUCACAGACAGGAUUCACCAGCUUGUCAAACGCUUCUCAGUACUCUAACUCCUAAACGGUUGAAUAGCUGCCAGAUAUCGAAAGUGAAAGUUAUCUUGGAAAAAGAGAGCGAGCAGAAAGUCACACAAUUCUACAGCCAUAAAAUCUAAAUAAAUUAGGGUUAACCUUAUAUAGUCUUUCAUAGGAAUCUCAAAACAAUGGUCUUGUGUUGCUUUUCACGUAGUGAAGGUUUUCACAAGUAUUCAAAAUGGCACAAUAAAAAAAAAAAGAGGUGAAUAUGGUGUCAGUCAACAAAAUGAAACAAUAACAAUGAAUAGAACACAGUAUAAUAUUAUCUUGCUUAUUGUGUUUUUGUUUAACAAUGCCAUGUCUUGGCUUGGGUAAUGUUUGUGAAUGUCAACAUACACAAACAAUAAAAUAAUGUGUAAAAAAAUAAAAUAAAUAAAUACCGCAAUGAAUUGCUCUAUGGGGGGGGGGGGGGGGCCCUGGCCCCUGUUUGCUUAAGCUUUGGUGAAAGACGCAAUGUACAAAUAGUGCUACAUUACGGUUCAUAAAAAACAAAAAAAAAAACUGAAUAAUAUCAUCAACAACAAAAGUUAUGCAGAUAAAGAAGCUGGAAAUGAUCAGAAUGCCAGUGCUUAGUUGUUGCUCAGUAUUAUUGCAGUAGAUCAACUGACUGUUGUUUAUCAUGUUCACAAGAAGUUCAAAGAAUGUCCUCACUUAAAUUUAAUAGUGCAUUUAACCCAAUUUAUACCAUUCGUUUUGUUAUUUGACUUGAUUCUAUUGCAGUUUUCACUGUUUUUCCUUCUCCUACAUGCUUGUUUUAUUUAAUAAUACAAACUAGUUUGUUCCAAGUUUCAGAGCCGGGCUUCCCAGCAUGCUCUGAGGCAGGGUGUUGAAGUCAAAAUUGUGUUCUAAAUCAUCACAGAUGUCGCUCUGUACUCGGUUAUUGUUGCUCUUAUGUUAUGUGCACAUUUAGUUCACCGUUCCGCCGGCGGUGCGUGUCGGACUGAAGCUCGAAUUGUCACUUUUAACUUGCUAAAACAUAAAUAAUGUUUUUCACUUACUUAAAAGUUUAAGACUUUCUCUUAACUUGCAUAUGAAGACACAUGAAAUGCUCAAGUAGUAUAUAAACAACAAGCUACUUUCUAACACCAACAGUUAACUAGGUAAUAAACUAACUCAACGCAGAGACAAAUCCAGGCUUCCUGGAACUCAAAUUCGUUUUGGAUCCCUUUUUUUUCUGUCUUUCUUUGAAAAUGAUCACAGGGCGCUUUUCGGGAAACUGGCAGCUUAUUCUUUCAUAGCUGGAGGUCAACAUAACACUCAGCAUUAAUAAAACAAAUAUGACUGGGAUGGAUAUUCACGAUGAUCUAUACAGAUGUACCGGGCAUGAGCGUGAAUCAUGUGUGUGAGAUAGUGCUGAAGGAGAGCAAAGGGGAGACACUCACACGUCUCGUCUGUUUACUCGUCUCUGUGUUUGUGUGUGUGUGAUAGCCGAGUCAGUUUCCCUCAGAUGUUCCUUUUGACCUCUGACCCCAGAGUUGGGGUCAAGCCCUGACAAAUGAGAUGGUCGAGUUCUGGCCAGAACAGCAAACAUUCCACAACAAUCUUCUGUCCUCCUCCCCUCCCUUCAUAUCCGUCAUUCCUCACCCCUUCACUCCUCUCACUCUGUCUCGUCCACAAGUUGCCAGAGGAAGUUCUCAUUUCACACAAACGUGUUUUUUAGUUUUUUUAUUGUACGUGUUCAUUGCUGGCCUUGAAAAAGAAAGCAACAACCCUGACAUGCAUGUGGCUUAUUUACAGGACAGAAAACAACAGAGUACAUCUUAGAGGAGAGGUUGUGUUGAGAUUACAGGCUUGUAGUUGUGUGUGUGUGUGUGUGUGUGUGUGUUUGGAACGCUUGUCAGUGAUGUCAAAGAUGAGAAAUGUUGCAGUGUGGUUUUUUUUACACAUGCUGCUGGCUCUAGCAUUUCCGGCAACAUUUCUCACUCGGCCUCCCUCACACCAUCCGCUCUUCUGCAAUAUCCCCACAUUUUUCCUCCCUCCCUCCCUUCCUCCCUCACUCCUUCCUCGCCCGCCUCAUCUCUUCUCCUUUUACCCUGCCCCACCCAAGCCAAUCGUAACCUCUCCCUCCACCUCCUCACCCCCCCACACCCUUUUCCCUUCCACUCACUAUUUUCUCAGAUUUUCUAACAUGCCAUUCCACAGAAUACCUACCACCUGUGUCUCUAGGGGGGGAAAAAGGGAGCUAUUGUUAUUCCUCUUCAAGAAACUGGUUAAGGUAAGUGGCACCAGCUAUUACAAUGGUUCUGGUUGUUGUGUUUCUGCAUUAACUUUUUUUCUCACGCACUGACCUCGGCUUCGCAAGCAUCACCACCCUCCAUCAGAGCUGUAGCUACAAGUCACUGCUGUAAAAACACACACACACACACACACAGUCACUACCAAUGAAUGUCAGCACCGCAGCCACGGUGCCACGACGGAGCCUGGAGACCAACAAAGCCGGCUGAUACUGUAACGGCGAGUGGAUGGUGCUCUUGAACUUGCUUUCAUAAUGAUGUAAUAUGACUAAAAGGCAAUGCAACUCAGCAGAGAUCUUAAUAAAAACAUGUCAGUCUCGA